UCUUCGAAAUGCCAAGUGUCUCGGAGUGCUGCCAGCCAGUGUUGCUAACGCCGCUCUGGACUCACUGCUCCCUCUGCCGAAGUCGUGCAGGUGCUCAUCAUCGCACUGAUCGGCGCAGCUCUGCCUGCUACCAUCUCGGCUGUCCCACACGCAACUUCGAACUGCCUGGAACCGUGCCUUGGCCGUGCCCCUGCUGUCUAUCGCCAAGUCAAUGACCUUAACAAAGUCCAAGACUGGUGCAACGACUGGUUAAUGACCCUUAACGCCAAUAAAUGUAAAGUAAUGUG